rnacentral:lncRNA from 1 species
GUAGAAGAGAGGAGGAAGGUGAGGGGAGAGGGGAGAUGGAGGGGAAAGAGGAGGAUGGAGGAACAGAGAGGGGAGAGAUGGAGAGAUAACAAGGAGGAAAAAAGGAGGAAAGUGGAGGAGAAGAAGAACAACAAGAUAACUAGGUAAUACACUACAUUCUAUUACCCUGGUCAAAAGUAGUGCACUAUAUAGUGAAUUGGGUGCCUUGGGUCCUGGUAAAAAGUAGUGCACUAUAACUACACACAAUAACUAUCUAUGACUGAAUUAAUUAAUUGUAUAUGACACAUGUAAAAUGCAUAUAUAAUUGCCUAUGAAGAUGGACUAUAACAAAACCCACAUUAAAAUCUAGUGAUGAUAAAAAACACAUUAAAAUGUAGUGAGGAUAAAAAAUCCCAGUUAGUCAACAUAGUGAUAUCCAUCACAGUUAGUCAACAUAGUGAUAUCCAUCCCAGUUAGUCAACAUAGUGAUAUCCAUCACAGUUAGUCAACAUAGUGAUAUCCAUCACAGUUAGUCAACAUAGUGAUAUCCAUCACAGUUAGUCAACAUAGUGAUAUCCAUCCCAGAGAUUCCGAGGGGAAGUCAACCUGAACAUGUACAAACAGUUAGUCAACAUAGUGGUGAUAUCCAUCCCAGUUAGUCAACAUAGUGAUAUCCAUCCCAGUUAGUCAACAUGGUGAUAUCCAUCCCAGUUAGUCAACAUAGUGAAAUCCAUCCUGGAGAUGCCGUGGGGAAGUCAACCUGAACAUGUACAAACAGUUAGUCAACAUAGUGUUAUCCAUCCCAGUUAGUCAACCUGAACAUGUACAAACACAGUUAGUCAACAACUUACAUUGGUGCAUCUUACAUUUACAUUUACAUUUAAGUCAUUUAGCAGACGCUCUUAUCCAGAGCGACUUACAAAAUGGUGCAUUCACCUUAUGAUAUCCAGUGGAACAACCACUUUACAAUAGUGCAU